GAUGAACGCUGGCGGCGUGCCUAAUACAUGCAAGUCGAGCGAACAGACGAGGAGCUUGCUCCUCUGACGUUAGCGGCGGACGGGUGAGUAACACGUGGAUAACCUACCUAUAAGACUUGGAUAACUUCGGGAAACCGGAGCUAAUACCGGAUAAUAUAUUCAACCGCAUGGUUCAAUAGUGAAAGACGGUUUUGCUGUCAUUUAUAGAUGGAUCCGCGCCGCAUUAGCUAGUUGGUAAGGUAACGGCUUACCAAGGCAACGAUGCGUAGCCGACCUGAGAGGGUGAUCGGCCACACUGGAACUGAGACACGGUCCAGACUCCUACGGGGGGCAGCAGUAGGGAAUCUUCCGCAAUGGGCGAAAGCUUGACGGAGCAACGCCGCGUGAGUGAUGAAGGUCUUCGGAUCGUAAAACUCUGUUAUUAGGGAAGAACAAAUGUGUAAGUAACUAUACACGUCUUGACGGUACCUAAUCAGAAAGCCACGGCUAACUACGUG
rnacentral:rRNA from 1 species